rnacentral:rRNA from 5 species
ACAGGUCUGUGAUGCCCUUAGAUGUUCUGGGCCGCACGCGCGCUACACUGACAGAGCCAACGAGUUCUUUUCCUUGUUCGAAAGAAUUGGGUAAUCUUGUUAAACUCUGUCGUGCUGGGGAUAAAGCAUUGCAAUUAUUGCUUUUCAACGAGGAAUGCCUAGUAAGCGCGUGUCAUCAGCAUGCGUUGAUUACGUCCCUGACCUUUGUACACACCGCCCGUCGCUACUACCGAUUGAAUGGCUCAGUGAGGCCUUCGGACUGGCUCGAGGAGGUUGGCAACGACCACCUCAAGCCGGAAAGUUGGUCAAACUCGGUCAUUUAGAGGAAGUAAAAGUCGUAACAAGGUCUCCGUAGGUGAACCUGCGGAGGGAUCAUUA